rnacentral:rRNA from 1 species
CCCCUACGGGACGCAGCAGUGAGGAAUAUUGGUCAAUGGGCGGGAGCCUGAACCAGCCAAGUCGCGUGAGGGAAGACGGUCCUAUGGAUUGUAAACCUCUUUUGUCGGGGAGCAAAGAGGCCACGUGUGGUCAAAAGCGAGAGUACCCGAAGAAAAAGCAUCGGCUAACUCCGUGCCAGCAGCCGCGGUAAUACGGAGGAUGCGAGCGUUGUCCGGAUUUAUUGGGUUUAAAGGGUGCGUAGGCGGGACGGUAAGUCAGCGGUAAAAAUGGGGAGUUCAACUCCGUAGAGCGGUUGAAAGUGCAG